GCGUGCCCAGCCGCGCCGCGCCCCGAGGCGAGGUGUCGGGGACGAAGCUGUGCGAGUAGCCGGGGAUGAAGCCCUGACCCCGAAGGGGUUUCCUGCCGGCGCGGCCGAGGGAGCGCAAGCCCCGCCCGGGUGCUGAGGUGACAUCCUUGAUAGCGAAUCAAUAAAUACAUUUCCCUUCUGGUGUUGCACCUGCUUACAGAAAUUUGAACAAAUAGCCGGAAUGGAACUAAGCAAGUAUCUGCAUUUGUGAUAAUUUACUUUUUAUGGACUAAUAAAAAAUGAAAUAUAAAGCUCCGUUCUUAGAUCCUCAUCCUGAGGAAGAGUGCCCACACAUCCUCAGGAGAUCUCUUUUUAGGAUCAGCGCUGUGCUGCAGAAUUUGCUCACUCCAGUAGCGAUCUCCCACAGUAAUAGCACACAUUUCAUCAGCCAUCAUGUGUUUUUCCAGGGAGUGGCAAUGCAUGAUUCAUUUCAAAUGCAAGUCUCUGCUAAAGCUUCUUUUGAGAAAUCAAGCCAAGAAGUUGCACUGAACUGCAUUGCCAUGGAAAUGUUCACUGAGGAGGGAGGACACAAACAAGAACAGUGAAACUUGCAUUUUAAGGAUGUUACUGGUGGUUGUGUGUGCACCAAAUAAAGGGUACCCGCACCGGGAAUGUUUCCAUCUUUUCAAGAAAAAACUUCAGAGCAGAACCCUCUCCACUUGGAAGCCACAAGCCAACAUAGUUUCCAGAUGCUUCUCAUUAAUUAGAAGAGAGAAACAUAGGUCUGGGUAUUAGCAGAGAGUUUUUGGGCUAUGCUGCUAUUAAAGGCUUGCAAGACUGUUAUCAAAAAUGGCCACAAACAGGAGACAUUUAGGAUUGAACACCCACCUUGAGCCUUCAGUCUGCAUGGAAAUGUUCUCCGGGUGCACUGCACAGUCCAAAGUCACAGCAGGCAGUUACUUCAGGAGGGACUGGCAGAACAUUGUGUCAGAGAAAUCCACAUCGUGAGCAUGGUCUGCGUUGGGAUCUGUCUGGCACACGCUCCAUCUCCUGUGCUGAAGCACCAAGUGUAACACUUCUGUGUUAAAAGAUCCUUCUGCAUUCCUCCUGCAUGAGAAGAUCCUCUUACAGAAAGAACAGAAGGCAGAAAACCAGAAACUUUUGCCUCUGCAACAAACUGCUUUUGGUACGGGGCAAGAUUUAGCUACCUCAAAUAGAUAAGUGAGACAAUCAACACAAGAACUUCACAGCCACAACUUAAAACAAACAAUCAAACAACCAAACAGUAACGCAAAUAAUAAGUGAGUAAUAACACAAAACAUAGUAGCCCGAAAGGAACACACAAUAGUUGUAUGCUGCUUAAACACCUGUGAGAAAUUCCUCAGGCAUGGUAGUAAUAGAAGAAAUCACUGAGCAGGCCACCACAAGGUGUCAGCAUUGCAGAAUGGUUAUUCCUACCAGGACUGAAACUGCUGUCCUUGCUGCUUGUACCAUCCUUGCUUGUCUGAAUGACACAUUGAUCUGGGUUUAUCGAUCCAAUUUUCCCAGCUCUUCCUGGAACCUCCAUGCUCCUUCCCACCAAAUCUUUGUACAGACUGAGCCUGGAAAGUGCUGCAGAACUGCCAUCAGGAAUCACAGGUUGGUCAGGAAUUACAUUCACUAUACUUUGACAGUUUUCAAGACCCUAAUCCAUCUGUAUUGCAUCUUAUACGUAUACAGUGAGA